AUGACCUUGCAUAGAUGGAUAUUUGAUAACCUAGACAAUCCCUUGAUUUUGGGCUAUGUCCCUCAGCUCUCCAAGCUAACUCUGGCGCAUGCAUUCAUUAUAAACAGGACCCUCAAGCUGAGCCAGCUGCUUGUUAAUGUUCCCUCAAUCAGUGACCUGCACCUCGAUUUUCAAAGUGAAAAGGUUUGGGUUCUACCAGAAUGCCCUAAAGUGCUUGCACCUGUGCUCGGCAAACUACGGCGCGUGAAUCUUAACAAUCUUCCCGAGGAAUGUGACAUCGCUUGGACAAUGUUCCUUCUUGAAGCCGCGCCAUCCUUAGAGGAGCUUUGCAUCACAGUAUGGGAUCAUAAAUGCCAAUUGGAGUCGCCAAAAAGUUACUACCAGAAAACCGAUGUGAAGUGGGAGCCAUCUACUCCUGAUUUCAAGCACAAUAAUCUUUCCAGACUAACUAUCUACGGCUUCCAGCCCAACGACAACUUCAUGGCAUACGUCAGGCGCGUCAUUGAAGCCGCGGAGAACAUCAAGGAGGUAUCUCUACACGACAGGAAGGUGUGCGAGCACUGCGUUGUCAAGUUCCCUCAUCUCGGAGUUCGUCCUUGGAGUUGUCCAUGGACCAGCGAGGAGGUGGAUUCAUUCAGACUGGAGAUCGCAGAGGUGAUCAAGGGGAGGGCCAUGGCGGUGGCUUCCACUCACAAAAUCCCCCAUGAUUUAACGAAAGCAUCUGACAAUGACCACAUAUUACUAAGCAAGCUGCCCAAUAACAACAUCGUCGAGAGGGUGGGUACGGUUGAUCUUGUAAGAACCUGCAUCCUCUCAAGGCAAAUGCAUAAACUGCCUCGGCUUGCUGAUUCUCCACGAUAUUAUUCCCCACUAUUUCGUUCGAAUCAACUGCGUUGUGGCCGAUGUGAUAGACAAAGUCUUGAGCAUGUGGUCCCGGCAGAUUACCAUUCGCAAGCUGAAGCUCAGGUUUUCUUGAGUCCCUCUCGUUGUCACUCGAUUGGCAAAUCAGCCGGCCUCGCCAUGGUGACCCAGAAACUAGAUGCAACCGAGUUUGAGAUCUUGACGCCAAGGGAUACCUAUCAUUGCACCGAGGCGUAUCCCCUGCUAUUUGUUAAGAAGUUCGCUAAAUUUGUUCGUCAUUGUGCAAAUGCUUUUGCUGGCCUCACAAGACCACAACUGCAUAAUCUGAGAUUUGGUGAACUGGACAUACAAAACAUUCUAAGCACCUGCAAGCGCCUCGAGUCAUUGUGUUUCUUUGAGUGUGACGCGGGGAUCCGUUCAACAUUGCAUGUAAAACACACUCGAGUCCUUGAGCUUGUUAUCUCCUAUGGGGAAUUCAAAACAAAGGAGCUUGACCGUCUACCAAAGCUCCAACGGACGACCUACAAUGUCCCCUCCGUAAGCGAUUUGUAUCAGGAAUAUUGGAGUGAAAAGAUUUGGGUUCAACGGGAAUGCCCGAAAUUGCUUACUCGUGUGCUACUGCUCGCCAAACUACGGUUUGUGAAUUUGGACAAUCUUCCUGAAGAAUGUGAUAUCGCCUGGACAAUGUUCCUUCUUGAUGCUGCACCAUCUCUAGAAGAGCUUCGCAUCACGAGUGCCAAAGGAAGUCGCAUCACGGUAUGCGAGGAGGUGGAUUCGUUGAGGAAGAAGAUCAUAGAGGCGAAGGAGAAAGUGGACUCAUUGAGGAAGAAUGUCAUACAGGUGACCAAUUCAAGGUAA
rnacentral:rRNA from 1 species